GGUCAAGCGGUUAAGACACCGCCCUCUCACGGCGGUCACACGGGUUCGAAUCCCGUA
rnacentral:tRNA from 1 species